AUUUUCUUAUUCAGCUGUGCUUUUUGAGGUUUCGAGAUUCUUUCAGCAUUUAAUACAGAAAGUUUUAGGCAAUUUAAUCAAAUCAAACGUACCCACUGUAUUGUUCGCCAUAUUUUUAGAAUUUUAGACGCUACGAAAACGGUUCUGGGAAUGAAAUUCCUCAGAGAUGGAUGACUGCUGCCAAAACAAGACGGUAGACAGAUAAAAACAAAUCCGGAAGCCGCUGACGGAAGUUUAUCAGAGGCACCAGAAUUUAAAAACAGAAAAAGGUCCCCAAUAACUAAACAAACAUUCCGGGUAAACAUUCCGGUUCCUCGGGUCAGUCAGACGGGUGGCACAGCACUAACAACAACACCAGUAGCAGCUACAGCAUCUUCGGCGUUCACCGGACACUCCAUCCCAUCCUUUACGGCGUCUACAUCCCGGUUUUUCCGAUAAUAGGCUUAAACAUGACCAGGCCCAGUGCCCAUUCGAACCAGCUAGCUUGGCGGAAGACACCGUAGACGGUGCAAAUGCUCUUAUCACAGCAAAUGCAAUCGUUGCCACUAGGAGUGAAUCUGGCUGGUAAUCGAGGCGAAGGCGCAAUUGUUGAUAUCGGAUUCCAAUCAGUACAAAACGUCCAGGGUCCUCUAGCCUUUCUUGAGAACUGCUAGCAACUUAGAUCCAGUGAAUGUAGGAUGGUUGACGGUCAUGCGGUCGGAAAGUUCGCAGUUCGAUUUCACCUUCACCCAAUUGUUUACUGCGAAGUCAUCCUAUCUGCAAUCCGGAUUUAGACUUAGA